AAUUUUUAGCCUCAUGUGACCUAUAGCACACGUUUCCAUGGCCAAACAGACAAUUUCAUGUCUCCGUUCUGCCACCUAUGUUUUAAUCCUCGGUGGCCGGUAAGACAUUUUCGGUCACUCGUGAGCUAUACCACAUGUUUUUAUUGCUAAAUAGUCAUUUUCAUGUCUCUGGUCUGCCACCCACGUUUUCAUCCCAUAAUGCUGGUGAGGCUAUUUUGGUCUCCCGUGACCAAUAGCAGGCGUCUUCAUGACCAAACAACAUUCUUCAUGUCUCUGGUCCUCCUCCUACGUUUUGGUCCCUUAGGCUAGUAAGGUUGUUUUGGCCUCCUAUGACUUAUAACACAUAUUUUUGUUGUCGAAUAACAAUUUCAUGUCUCUCGUUCGCCGCCCAUGUUUUGAUCCAUGAGAGUGGUAAUGUUGUUUUGGCCUCUGGUGAACUAUAACACAUAUUUUCAUGACCAAACAACGGUUUUUAUUUCAAAUUUCUUGCACCGAUAUUUUGGUCACCAGAGAAUGGUAAAAGCAGUUUUUGGCCUCCCGUGAGCUAUAGCACACGUUUGCAUGGCCAAACAGAUAAUUUCAUGUCUCUAGUCUGCCACCUACAUUUUAGUACCUGUAGGUCGGUAAGGCAUUUUUGGCCACCCGUGAGCACACGUAUUUGUGGCCGAAUAGUCAUUUUCAUGUCUCCGUUCUGCCACCCGUGGUUUCAUCCCCAAUGGCCGAUGAUGCUAUUUUUGGCCUCCUGUGACCUAUGGCACACGCUUUUACGACCGAACAACUUUCUUCAUUCCUCUGGUCUGCCUCCUACAUUUUGGACCCUUAGGCUUGUAAGGUUGUUUUUGCCUCCAGUAACAUAUAACACAUGUUUUUUGUCGUCGAACAAUGAUUUCAUGUCUCCGAUCCCCCACCCAUGUUUUGGUCCCAAACAAGGUAAGGCUACUUUUUGUAACACCCUAGAAUAAUGUCUUAGAGAAAAGUUUGCAAAAGAUGUUGGAUUAGAAAUGCUUUUAAUGAAGAGUUUAUUAGCUUUAAAAGACAAUUCUCUUAAAAUAAAUAAAUGGUAGUAUUAAAAUUCAGUUAUUCAAAGUUAUGCUUAGGUCUUGAAACUAGAAUUUGAAUUUGAUACUAUCUGGAAUUUUCAAUUAUUCAGGGGAGUGAAUUAAUUUUCAUGGAUCACAUAUUAAUAUUACUCAAAGGAAUGAUAAGAAGAUAUUUUUUCUUGGAUUAUGCCUUCAAAAAUAUUAAUGAAUAAAUAAAUAUUGGCAGGAUAUAAAAUUCAUGUAAAUUUAUACUAUGCAUCAUGCUAGAGUUUUGAAUGUACAUCUAGUUUUAUUUGAGAUUUAAACUCAGAUUUUAAAGCCAAAAAAUCAGAUUUGAAAAUAGCAAUUCAAAAAUAGGAAAAGAAAAAGGGAGAAAUGCUUGCUUUGCUGGAAUCCUUCACACCGCCGGCCCAACCACCACCGUGGCCCACUUCAAGCCGCAUAAACCAGUUGCAUCCACGCGCGCGAUCGAUCUACUAACGGGCGGGACCCUCUCGUCAGCCUCCCCCCCGUCAUGGCAUUGUAUCUCUUCCUCCUCGUCUUCCACUCGCCGAAGUGAACGCCUAGAUCCAUGUCGACAUCUCCAGCAGCCGCCCAUGCCGACCGAUUCGCCCACGUCUCCAACCUAUAAAAGCAUGGCCUCGUGACCUCCUUCGGCUAUGGGCUAAAGCUCGAACCACCCUCGCACAUCGUUGACGGAAUCAUGGAGGGUGGAGCAUCGUUGCGGGGGGGGGGGGGGGGGGGGGGGGGGGGGGGCGGGGGGGGGGGGGGGUUUGGGGGGUGGAAGGAAUCAAGCCGACGUCGAUGAACCACAUGUACACCGUCGUCCAGGUCACGCCGUAUGGCACCGAGUGUUCGCCCUGAUGCACCGCGUGCGCCCGUGGCAUCAUUUAGCGUGGUGGCGUCGCGGACUGCGACAAAUCACUCGUCGGGCUUGGUGCUCGCAGCCAAGCCACCGAUCGCCGUGGCCAGCGUCCAACCCUGCAGCAAGUUCAGUAAGAAGACCUCGGUUGAAUCCGCGGUAUAUACAAGAUCGUGUAGCUCCCCUCUGAUCGAAGUUUUGGGUUGCGAAUGGGAGAAUUGGGGGAGGGCGCCAAUGGAUGCCGCCAUGGGUUGGGCGGCGCUGCCAUCUGUUGAUGGCUGGUGGAUGGGUAGGAUGGGGGAAAACGUUGUGGCCACCGAUUUCUGCAUCAACAGCUGGGAUUGGGCCGAGCAUACCUCUUUGGCUAGAUUAAAUCUUGGUCGUUAGAUCGGAUCCGAGGGAUGGGUGUGGCUGAUGGCGUGGACGCACUUCGGCCAUGGAUCUCUGAUCCUGCGGCUAGGAACCCUUACCAGUGUAUAAAGUAUGGGGAUCUAAUCGCAGCCGUUGAUCAUGUAUCGGAAGGCUCAGCUUUCCCCAUACCCCUUCGUCGUGACUUUUAGCUAAAGUGGCCCUCAGAUUGAUUCUAUUUAACCCACAGUUUAGGUUAGUAUUAAAACCAUUACUGAGAGGCCCUGGAAUUAAUGAAAACAACCCUGAAUCCUCGGAUAUUUAUGCCCGCGGUUAAGAAUACUCAAUAUACUUAUAAAUAAAUUCAAAAAUAGUUUCCUUUAUAAAAACAAUUCAUAGAUAUUGGAAAACCCCAUAACUUCUUCAUUUUAACUCUGCUUUAGUCUGUUCCUGUUGCGUUAGCUUCUUAAUAAGUUUGCCUACACAUUAAAAGCAUUAUUUCUAUCAUCCCACAUACUUUUAUAAUUGGAUAUUUAUUUAACUUAUGUUUAUUAGACUAACUCUUCUAAUCUAGGCUAAUAUGUUUAUAAUUAUAAAUUUUACUAAAAUAUUAUCUCUAAUCAAGUUAUAAUGAGGUAUCUCUUUAGAUUAUCUUUCUCACAUGAUUUAUAAGAUCAACAUAAGACCUAGUUUAAAUUGCUUAAUCGCAUAGGUCUUCCAAAAACCAUAUCUCUUUAACCACAACUCUAAUUUCAGUAAUUCUCAAACCCACGAUCUUGUAGCAGCGCAUAUAAUAUUCUUAAGUUGUUUGUUCUCAUGAUUGGUGUACUGUUAUUUUUAUGUGCUUCUUGUCUAUUUGUAUGUAUUGCUACGAAUAGCGGUGAGGUCACGAGAAUCUGAAGACCAACUUGGUACCUGGUAUCUCGAGUCUAAGGCAAGUUGUGCCCUUGAUCACUAUUCUUUACCUAAUAAUGAUCUCUGUUACUCACUGUGACAUGCUCAGGUUAAUUUGAUGGGACCUAAUAGGUUUCCCUAGUUCUGUUUACUCGAGCCUUCGCAGACAAAUGAACUAUUGGGUAGACUUGCUAUUGUUUUACCUGGUUUUAGAAUUAAUGUUACAUUUGAAUUAUGAUCAUGUUCCAAUUAUGUUGUAGUUUUAAUUAUUGUUCAUGACAAGAUAAUUGUCUUAAUUGGAACAUGGAGCUUAACUUGAGAUAAUCGUGCUACCACAAUGGUGGAAUGGGACGCCCUUGGCUGACUAAUUAGGAAAGCUAGUGGAGGACUACCUUACCCGAAAGGGGCAAGGGCGGUAGAGGAGCUAUGGUAUAGGGAGGUUCUCGGGUCGAUCAUGCUGCGAUGGCUUUUCGAAUGAGGGAUUCCUAUAUUGCCCUUCUCAGAAACCGUAGCAGGUUUUCUGAAGCUAGUGGAACUUUGUAAAUGCCUCGUAGUGCUACUUUGCCUUGUCUCCUCGGCAGAUAUGAAUGGGAAGUCAUGAUCCCUUAGCAAAUGGGUAACACAACUUGUAGGUGAAGGGUGCAAGCUCUGCAGAGUGUAAAACUGGUAUAUCAGUCGUGCUCACGGUCAAAAGCGACUCAGGACUCGCAUUAUUAAUUUAUAGAACUAAACUUAAUUUGCCAUAUGCAUUGCAUUGUGGGUGUUAUUAUUAAUUUGAUCUCUUAUUUAUUUGGGUUGGUAUCUACUUAUGCCCAGUAACUACUAAUAAAACUUUGACCAAAUUUAAAAGCAAUGCUCAUCUUUAAUCAUCUCCUUUGGUAAGCCUUACACUUCAUAUGAGCCCCACUGUAAGUGGACUCAUAUUCAUUAUUCCCCACAACUUGUUGAGCGAUGAACGUAUGUGAGCUCAGCCUUACUGUACUCACAUCCCCUCAGGUCAAGAAUAAAUACUGCACAAUGAGGAGCAUGAAGGAUGUUGUGAUGUGUUCAUUAGAGGUCUAGGCCAUCGUCUCCCAGUAAACUAUGCUUGCUAGAUCGUUGUCUACAUAUGAUGUAAUUAUUUAACUAUUUUGUAUAGAACUCCUAUUAUAUAGUAAAGAUGUGACAUUCGUUUCUAUACCAUGAGUCAUCAUAUGUGUGAGACUUGAUCUUAGCACACAUUUGAUUCGCGCUCGGGUUUGCCCCUUAAAUCCGGGUGAUACUUUUGACCUCUCAUGAACUAUAGCAAACGUUUUCGUGGUUGAACAACCAUUUUUAAGUCUCCUACGCUUUUGGUCCCUUAGGCCAGUAAGGUUAUUUUUUGUCUACCGAGAGCUAUCACUUAUGUUUAUGGCCUAAUAGCCAUUUUAUGACUCUAUUUUGCCACCCAUAUUUUGGUCCCCGAAGCACGGUAAAGCACUUUUUGGCCCCUCAAGAGCUAUAGCACAUGUUUCAUGGCCGAAUAGUCAUUUUUAUGUCUCAGUUACAUCACCUAUAUUUUGGUCCCUGAAGUAUGGUGGCCUCCCAUGAGGUAUAGCACAUGUUUCCAUCGCUAAACAUCGAGUUGCAUGCCUCCGGUCCACCACCUAUGUUUUAGUCCCCGGAGGUCGCUAAAGUAUUUUUGGCCACCCAUGAGCUAUAGUACAUAUUUUUAUGGUUGAAUAAUCAUUUUAAUGUCUCUGGUCUACCACCUACAUUUUAUUCCCCAGAGGUCGGUGAUGCAUUUUUGGCCACACGUGAGCUAUAGCACAUGUUUUGGUCCCCGAAGGCCAAUAAGGCUUUUUUGGUCAUUCAUGAGCUAUAGCACAUGUUUUUAUGAUCGAAUAGUCAAUUUUAUGUCUCCGGUCUGACACCUACGUUUUAGUCCUUGGAGACCGGUGCGGCAUUUUUAGCCACCCGUGAGCUAGCUAUAGCACACUUUUAUGGCUAAAUAGUCAUUUUCAUGUAUCUAAUCUGCCACUCACGUUUUCAUCCCCUAAGGACGAUGAGGCCAUUUUUGGCCUCUCAUGACCUAUAACUCACGUCUUCAUGACCGAACAAAGUUCUUCAUGUCUCCGGUCCACCUCCUACGUUUUGGUCCCUUAGAUCACUAACUGUUAGGCAAUAGAAUAUGCCAUCUGUGGAUAUCCUAGCAGCUUUGAUACCAUCCUAGAUGCUAUAAAUAGCAGAUGUAAAUCAGAGAUUAGUUGCUAGAUAUAGCAGAUGUAAAUCAGGGAUAAAUCAGGGGAAUUAUCCCUGCCUUGUAAAGCAGGCCAGCCAGCUCUAUAUAAUAGAAGGUGCCCCCUCUCAUUGAGGUGUGGCCAAUUGCCCUCAACCCUGUUUCUCUACAUGGUAUCAGAGACCCAGGCAUCGAUCUAAUUUCCCAACCCCCUCACCUUCCGCCAAAAACCCUCUGCGCUGACUUCCAGUGCACCACCCCACCCCUCUUCUCUCCUCCAGCCGCGCCGCCUUAACCAGACCGUGUCGCCUGCCCUCUCCUUCCCCUUCCCUGCGCCAUGAGCACCAUCUCCGAUGCUGCCGAUUCUGCUCCUGUCCUCUGCCCCUUUGCCACCAUCAACAUCAAGCUCCACGUCCCAUGACCCUGGAGUUGAAACCCUGCAACUACAAUAAGUGGUCGACGACGUUUCAGGCCACAUGUGGAAAAUUUGGGCUGCUGCAUCACCUCUCCACCUCGUGCCCCACCGAUGCGGCAUGGGCAUAGGCUGACUUCUGCGUUCGCGGAUGGAUGUACAACACCACCUCCGACACCGUCCUCAACCUCGCCAUGACCGACAGCACCCAGACGGCGAGCGCCCUUUGGAAGGCCAUCGACGAGGUGUUCUAGGCAAACAAAGCUCCCCGCGCCAUCUUCCUGAAUCACGAGUUUCACUCGAUGACUCAGGGGACCUGUCCAUUGACGCCUACUGCGUUCGCAUGAAGGAGAAGGCCGACGAACUACGCGACGUUGGGCAGCCCGUAUCUGAGCCCAACCUCGUCCUCAACCUGCUGCGUGGACUUAACGAGGUCUACUCCGGCGUCGCCGACAACAUCGCCGGACAGCAGCCCCUCACNNNNNNNNNNNNNNNNNNNNNNNNNNNNNNNNNNNNNNNNNNNNNNNNNNNNNNNNNNNNNNNNNNNNNNNNNNNNNNNNNNNNNNNNNNNNNNNNNNNNGUAAAACUGGUAUAUCAGUCGUGCUCACGGUCAAAAGCGACUCAGGACUCGCAUUAUUAAUUUAUAGAACUAAACUUAAUUUGCCAUAUGCAUUGCAUUGUGGGUGUUAUUAUUAAUUUGAUCUCUUAUUUAUUUGGGUUGGUAUCUACUUAUGCCCAGUAACUACUAAUAAAACUUUGACCAAAUUUAAAAGCAAUGCUCAUCUUUAAUCAUCUCCUUUGGUAAGCCUUACACUUCAUAUGAGCCCCACUGUAAGUGGACUCAUAUUCAUUAUUCCCCACAACUUGUUGAGCGAUGAACGUAUGUGAGCUCAGCCUUACUGUACUCACAUCCCCUCAGGUCAAGAAUAAAUACUGCACAAUGAGGAGCAUGAAGGAUGUUGUGAUGUGUUCAUUAGAGGUCUAGGCCAUCGUCUCCCAGUAAACUAUGCUUGCUAGAUCGUUGUCUACAUAUGAUGUAAUUAUUUAACUAUUUUGUAUAGAACUCCUAUUAUAUAGUAAAGAUGUGACAUUCGUUUCUAUACCAUGAGUCAUCAUAUGUGUGAGACUUGAUCUUAGCACACAUUUGAUUCGCGCUCGGGUUUGCCCCUUAAAUCCGGGUGAUACUUUUGACCUCUCAUGAACUAUAGCAAACGUUUUCGUGGUUGAACAACCAUUUUUAAGUCUCC
rnacentral:lncRNA from 1 species